GUCCGAGUGGUGUAGUGGUUUGAGCAUUGGACUGUUACUCUGGGGACCAGGAUUGGAAUCCCCACUUGGAUA